GCCCAGCCGUAAACAAUUAACUUACACCAAAAAGCGCCAGGGAACUACAAGCAACGUUAAAACCCAAAGGAUUUGACGGUGUCCCACCCACCUAGAGGAGCCUGUUCUAUAAUCGAUACCCCCCGCUUUACCUGACCAUCCCUUGCCUAUCAGUCUGUAUACCUCCGUCGAAAGCUUACCAUGUGAACGUCUUCAGUAAGCUUAAUGAUCACCAUCAACACGUCAGGUCAAGGUGCAGCUCACGGAAUGGAGACAAAUGGGCUACAAUUUCUAAUCUAGAACAAACGAAAGGCUACGUGAAACCCUAGCUCCGAAGGCGGAUUUAGUAGUAAAAAGAAACUAGAGUCUUCUUUUUAACCCGGCUCUGGGACGCGUACACACCGCC
rnacentral:rRNA from 1 species